rnacentral:rRNA from 1 species
CCUACGGGCGGCAGCAGUGGGGAAUAUUGCACAAUGGGCGCAAGCCUGAUGCAGCGACGCCGCGUGAGGGAUGGAGGCCUUCGGGUUGUGAACCUCUUUCGCCAGUGAAGCAGGCCUGCUCCUGUGUGGGUGGGUUGACGGUAGCUGGAUAAGAAGCGCCGGCUAACUACGUGCCAGCAGCCGCGGUAAUACGUAGGGCGCGAGCGUUGUCCGGAAUUAUUGGGCGUAAAGAGCUCGUAGGCGGCUGGUCGCGUCUGUCGUGAAAUCCUCUGGCUUAACUGGGGGCUUGCGGUGGGUACGGGCCGGCUUGAGUGCGGUAGGGGAGGCUGGAACUCCUGGUGUAGCGGUGGAAUGCGCAGAUAUCAGGAAGAACACCGGUGGCGAAGGCGGGUCUCUGGGCCGUUACUGACGCUGAGGAGCGAAAGCGUGGGGAGCGAACAGGAUUAGAUACCCGUGUAGUC